rnacentral:rRNA from 1 species
GAUGAACGCUGGCGGCGUGCCUAAUACAUGCAAGUCGAGCGAACAGACGAGGAGCUUGCUCCUCUGACGUUAGCGGCGGACGGGUGAGUAACACGUGGAUAACCUACCUAUAAGACUGGGAUAACUUCGGGAAACCGGAGCUAAUACCGGAUAUUUUUUUAACCCCCUGGUUCCAUUAUUAAAUACGGUUUUUCCUUUACUUUUUGAUUGAUCCCCGCCGCAUUUGCUAGUUGGUAAGGUAACGGCUUACCAAGGCAACGAUGCGUAGCCGACCUGAGAGGGUGAUCGGCCACACUGGAACUGAGACACGGUCCAGACUCCUACGGGAGGCAGCAGUAGGGAAUCUUCCGCAAUGGGCGAAAGCCUGACGGAGCAACGCCGCGUGAGUGAUGAAGGUCUUCGGAUCGUAAAACUCUGUUAUUAGGGAAGAACAAAUGUGUAAGUAACUAUGCACGUCUUGACGGUACCUAAUCAGAAAGCCACGGCUAACUACGUG